GAUGAACGCUGGCGGCGUGCCUAAUACAUGCAAGUCGAGCGAACGGACGAGAAGCUUGCUUCUCUGAUGUUAGCGGCGGACGGGUGAGUAACACGUGGAUAACCUACCUAUAAGACUGGGAUAACUUCGGGAAACCGGAGCUAAUACCGGAUAAUAUUUUGAACCGCAUGGUUCAAAAGUGAAAGACGGUCUUGCUGUCACUUAUAGAUGGAUCCGCGCUGCAUUAGCUAGUUGGUAAGGUAACGGCUUACCAAGGCAACGAUGCAUAGCCGACCUGAGAGGGUGAUCGGCCACACUGGAACUGAGACACGGUCCAGACUCCUACGGGAGGCGGCAGUAGGGAAUCUUCCGCAAAGGGCGAAAGCCUGACGGAGCAACGCCGCGUGAGUGAUGAAGGUCUUCGGAUCGUAAAACUCUGUUAUUAGGGAAGAACAUAUGUGUAAGUAACUGUGCACAUCUCGACGGUACCUAAUCAGAAAGCCACGGCUAACUACGUG
rnacentral:rRNA from 1 species